AUUGAACGCUGGCGGCAGGCCUAACACAUGCAAGUCGAGCGGAUGAAGGGAGCUUGCUCCUGGAUUCAGCGGCGGACGGGUGAGUAAUGCCUAGGAAUCUGCCUGGUAGUGGGGGAUAACGUCCGGAAACGGGCGCUAAUACCGCAUACGUCCUGAGGGAGAAAGUGGGGGAUCUUCGGACCUCACGCUCUCAGAUGAGCCUAGGUCGGAUUAGCUAGUUGGUGGGGUAAAGGCCUACCAAGGCGACGAUCCGUAACUGGUCUGAGAGGAUGAUCAGUCACACUGGAACUGAGACACGGUCCAGACGCCUACGGGAGGCAGCAGUGGGGAAUAUUGGACAAUGGGCGAAAGCCUGAUCCAGCCAUGCCGCGUGUGUGAAGAAGGUCUUCGGAUUGUAAAGCACUUUAAGUUGGGAGGAAGGGCAGUAAGUUAAUACCUUGCUGUUUUGACGGUACCAACAGAAUAAGCACCGGCUAACUUCGUG
rnacentral:rRNA from 1 species